GACUCCUACUAUAGCGGGCCAGUCAACAUGGGCCAGAAGAUGGGUCCUAACAGGGUUCAGCAUCUCCAUAUCUCCAUACCCUGUCUGGACUACCGGUGCCAGGUGCGUCAAAGCCUUUCACAGACGGGCACGUGUAGCAUAAAGCUCCAUGCGGAGGGCACGAGCAUCCCUGUCUCUGUUCUCUAGCAUCUCAGCAGUGGACUGCAAUAGCGGAUCCUCCAUAGAGGAAUCAAAAUAGGCCCCGCUGAGGUAUCCCUCUUCACCAGGCUGAGAGGCAGGAACAUAGUAGAACUCUGAGUUCUGCAGUAGUGCAUGUCUCGCCCUCAUAAUGGUCAGCAUUGAAUAGGCAGCAUCUUGUACUGCCGUGUCAACAGUGACCCCCAAUCCAUAGGACCAAUGGAUUGGCUCCUCUGCUCCAGGGUAGUCUGGAAAUACCCUAACAGUGCAGAUAUACUGGCUCUAGUUGAAGUCUCGGUACUGUUCCUCCACUAUGUACUCUGGGUACCAGCGGUAGCCGCACACCGACAUCACCCUGACGAGCAUGGUUGUAUGACCCGACACAUCAAUGCACCUGGUGAGACGAACCACCUGACGAGAAGGACGGCCUGGCAUCUGAAAAAUUAGAGAGUAAUGCAAAAGCAUUAGAGCUCUGAAUGCAAAAUUGGGCAGCAUAACGGCUGUAAAUGCUCAAAAACAAUUUUGAGACAACCCAAAAAUAGAAUAGCGUAACCACUCAACUAAACAGUUCAAUUCUCUGGUCAUCAAACUUACUUCCUUUUUCCUAGGGAUGAAAGAAACCCAAAUAUCUCUCGUCCCGUAGUCCUAUAAUCUACUGAUCAGAAACACGAGCCUAGAAGAAGAUGAGUAACCUAGUCCUUAAUUCCCGCAGAAAAGACGAGAAUGACCAGAAUAGAAUAACUUGAGAAGAGAACAAGAGUCUUACGUUCCCUUCCACAAACAAUUCCCUUAUAUAUAACUAAAGCAAUUCUAGACUCAACUUCGACCAGUUUGGCUUAGUAGUCCUACAGUCAGUCAGGCUAUGAUACCAACGCUCUCGAGACCCCGAUCCUAAGCCAUAGGAAUCCAGCCUGUAACACAUCGCAUCUCUUUGCGGUCUCACGCACGGUAAACCCCAAGGCUGCAGCCUUACCUUAGCCGGGACCGUUUGCGCCUUUUGACUCGCCUAUGCAAUUGUGUCACUAGCAAUCCAAUGACAAAGAACCCGGAUCGACAUGUCUAGUCAUAAACCAAAGUGGCAGUUCCGCACAGGGACAAGCAUACAUGACCCAGCAAAGCAGGUGUCGGUCACCAGCGAAUGUAGACGAGUCGUAGCAAGCUACAAGGACUCCAUUACAUCGCGUGACAUUUCCCCAAAGAGGACAGAUACAUCAGCUAAGAAGGACACACGCCGGUCAACCAAUGUGUCCGGAGCAGCAGCGAGCUACCAUGGCUCGUUGGAUCACAAAGGGGGCAUUUACCUGUAAGGAAUGCUACUAAAGUCUACGGCUAGGUAAUCGAACCCCAUACAUAUCAAGUACGACACACGUACGCAUGGCAUACCGAUAUGUAUAGAUACAUCGAUGGCAUCACAACAUAACCAUAACAUACAAGCUUUAUUUAAAAGGCUCGGAAGAGCCACACACAUAAUAUUACAAAGUAGGGGUCUCACGACGCAUCAUAACAGUCAUUCAAGUUACAAGCCAGCGUAAGUAAUUAAACUGUCUGAGUACAGACAGACGAAACUAGGAGGCACAUGGCCCGACUAUACUACAGACCCAACCUAGGGCCAGAUCGUAGCUGGGACACCUGCUACUCGUCGUCAUCGAUGUCAAGGAAGAACCCUCCAUUAGGGUCAUUAACAACCUCUGCAACAAAUAUUAAGCAAACAUGAGUACGGAGGUACUCAGCAAGACUUUAGGAUAACUAUCUACUGAUGCAAUAUAUCAAUAAGGAAUUGUGGGGUUUCAUGCGGAAAGCCAGCAUUUGAUUCGUGGCUAGACAACUCGCAUUUUAAAACAAUUUUUGACAACUUGAUUUCUCGCACAUGAGUCCACUAACACCACAACAAUACUCCAUCGUGGAAUCAUUCCGUCUCCAUACGGAAAUGCCGUCCACGGCAGUCACGCUUAUCUUGACAAUUUUAUGAGUAGCCAUUGAAGUUAUCUAUGAACAACAUAUGUCUCCAAGUAGUCCAUAUCCGCGGACGCGGCUAUUCGAAUAGAUCAUAACCCUGUAGGAGGUGUACUUCUUCACACACGCUCUCGCCACUUAUCGCCAUGUGCACGUCAUGCACCUCGGCAACCUUCAAGCGGAAGCCCAGCGAGGGAGUCGGCCACGACCGUUAACCACGCUAAUACUUGGUCCAGGUCUAUCGCCUAUCUGAGGGUAACCCGCACGAAAGUCCGGCCGAGGUUUCCGCCACGACCCCAAACGAUGUGCGCAGGGUUCCCAAGCCCACCAUCCGGGUGCCACUUGGUACACCGUGCCACUG
rnacentral:lncRNA from 1 species